rnacentral:lncRNA from 1 species
CAGCGGGUAUGUCCAGAGGAGAGGCUCCGCCAUCUCCUGCUGCCAUGGAUGUGACGGAGGAGUCUUGGCAAUCCUGGAAGACCUGCAGGAUCUCCUCCCAGCCCUCCAGUGUGAAGCCAGCAGCUUCGUCAGCCACGUAGGUGGCUCUCCAGCCAACGUUUACUUUAGUGUCAAAAAGAAAUCCCAGGCAUGUCUGAAACAGAUGUGGGCCCACUGUGCACUGGGGGUCUUCCCAGGGACAGCCUAGGCCGGCCUGGGGGCGUGGGCCUUUCUGUUGGGGUUGGUCCUGUCCUUGCCUCUGGAGGGAAGCCAGCCUGGCAGGCCUGCCCCUCGUUCCGUGCUGGGGCCUGAGACCCGCACGUAGAGCCUGCGCAGCCGUGUGACCUGGGGCGUGUGUGACAGAAGGCCGCAUGGCUGUGGGAGGGGACAGGGAUGCUGGCUUGGCUCUGCCAAAGCUUUUAAUUAACUCAGAUAAUUGUUCACAGCUUUAGACGUGAACAAGCCCCAGAUUCCCCACACUGACGUCGGGGCCUGCUUCCCGUCUGCACAGAGGGAUGGACUGAAAUAGGAGUUCCUGCUAUUUUAAAGGGUCAAGAUCCCUUUAAAAAUCUGGAAAAAGCUGUGGACUCUUUCCCCAGAAAACACACACACACGUACACACAUAUAUACACACAUGUAUACACGUACACACGUACACAUGUACACUUGCUGUUUCACGUCCAGUUUCAGGGGCUCACAACCCCUAGUUCCAGGGGGUCCUGGACGCCAAAAUAAGGCACUCUGCCCUGAGUGACCCUGGGCCGGCCCCUCCCCUGCAGCACCCCUGAGGUUGUCUAUGGACAGAGCAGUGUCCCCACCACCUGGCAUUUCCAGUCUCUUACUCCAAGGUGGACAAAGGAGGAGUUCUCACCCUUUUCUGCAGAUGAGAACCGAAGCCCAGGGCAGGGCCGAUCUCACAGGAAGUCCGGAGUGAGUCUGGCUCUGGACCCAGGCUCUUCUCCUCCCCAGCCUGGAGCCCGUUCCCUCCAUCCCUGCUUCCUCCUAGCUUUUUAGGUCAUGCUCCCUUUUGACAAGUGAAAAAACCUCAUUUCCCCCACCUCCGAAAUAUCGAAUAACACACUGUGGGGAGGGGAGCGGGAGUCUGUCUCCCCACUUGGGGUCACUGUAUCAUAGGCCGACAAGGCUUUUGUUAAGUUUUACUUUCUCUGGCUUGAAAUAUAAUUUGAACUCUGAAAAUCAUAGUUGUUCUUAUGUCCCAAAUAUGAAAUAUCAUAAUGUUGAAACGUUUGAAACCAUACAGCCUGCAGCAGCCCCACCUAAAAAGCACUG